rnacentral:ncRNA from 1 species
AUGUCGGCUCAUCUCAUCCUGGGGCUGGAGCAGGUCCCAAGGGUACGGCUGUUCGCCGUUUAAAGAGGUACGUGAGCUGGGUUUAGAACGUCGUGAGACAGUUCGGUCCCUAUCUUCCGUGGGUGUAGGAUACUUGAGAGGAGUUGCCCCUAGUACGAGAGGACCGGGGUGAACGAUCCACUGGUGGACCUGUUGUUGCGCCAGCAGCAGUGCAGGGUAGCUAUGAUCGGACAGGAUAACCGCUGAAGGCAUCUAAGCGGGAAGCCCCCCUCAAAACAAGGUAUCCCUGAGAGCCGAGGUAGACCACCUCGUCGAUAGGCCAGAGAUGUAAGCGUAGUAAUACGUUCAGUUGACUGGUACUAAUUGCUCGAUAGGCUUGAUUUG